AUUAAGGCGCAUACGAAAUGCAUAAAUAAAUAAUAGGCGAGAUCUUAUCCUUACAGGAAAGUUCUGAAGUGCAUGUGUGUGUGCGUUUGUGUGUGUGUGUGUGUGU